GCCUGGCUGGCUCAGUUGGUAGAGCAUGUGACCUUUGAUCUCAGGUCGUGAGUUCGAGCCCCACAUUGGGUG